GUCUGAGGUGCCUGAAAUUUUAGCUCAAACCUAAUAAUAGAAGGUGAGCAAAGUUUCAGGUGUAUCAGCUG
rfam:Lottia gigantea unplaced genomic scaffold LOTGIsca_160, whole genome shotgun sequence.